GUCCAUAUAGCUUAUAACAAAGCAUGACACUGAAGAUGUCAAGAUGGCUGUCACUAACACCUAUGGACA
rnacentral:tRNA from 1 species